rnacentral:rRNA from 1 species
GAUGAACGCUGGCGGCGUGCCUAAUACAUGCAAGUCGAGCGAACAGAUAAGGAGCUUGCUCCUUUGACGUUAGCGGCGGACGGGUGAGUAACACGUGGAUAACCUACCUAUAAGACUGGGAUAACUUCGGGAAACCGGAGCUAAUACCGGAUAACAUAUUCAACCGCAUGGUUCAAUAGUGAAAGGCGGCUUUGCUGUCACUUAUAGAUGGAUCCGCGCCGGAUUAGCUAGUUGGUAAGGUAACGGCUUACCAAGGCAACGAUACGUAGCCGACCUGAGAGGGUGAUCGGCCACACUGGAACUGAGACACGGUCCAGACUCCUACGGGAGGCAGCAGUAGGGAAUCUUCCGCAAUGGGCGAAAGCCUGACGGAGCAACGCCGCGUGAGUGAUGAAGGUCUUCGGAUCGUAAAACUCUGUUAUCAGGGAAGAACAAAUGUGUAAGUAACUGUGCACAUCUUGACGGUACCUGAUCAGAAAGCCACGGCUAACUACGUG